rnacentral:rRNA from 1 species
UACGUAGGGGGCAAGCGUUAUCCGGAUUUACUGGGUGUAAAGGGAGCGUAGACGGCUUUGCAAGCCAGAUGUGAAAGCCCGGGGCUCAACCCCGGGACUGCAUUUGGGACUGUAUGGCUGGAGUGUCGGAGAGGCAGGCGGAAUUCCUAGUGUAGCGGUGAAAUGCGUAGAUAUUAGGAGGAACACCAGUGGCGAAGGCGGCCUGCUGGACGAUGACUGACGUUGAGGCUCGAAAGCGUGGGGAGCAAACAGG